rnacentral:misc_RNA from 1 species
UUUUAGGCUCUUGGAGCUUGGAAUGUCCUCCCACAUCCCCAGCAUUUACUUUAUUUUGGUGAUUGCAUGUGCAUGUACUUGUAUUUUUGUUCUUGAUCUUUCUGCUGUUAUUGAUAAUGAUAUGGUGUCUUGCUGUGCAGUACUCUUUGUAGUUGACUAGGUGUAAGACUUCUAGUACAUCUUUCUUGUAGGGUUUGUAACAUGAUUUGAACUUUUCUUCAGG